GGGGUUGUAACUCAAUGGUAGAGUGCUUGCCUCACACACAUGAGGCACUGGGUUUUAUCCUCAGCACCAUAUAAAAAUAAAUAAAUAAAGGCAUUGUGUCCAUGAAAAUUUUAAAAAAUAAAAUAAUAAAACAUAAAAAGGGCUGGAGCUGUGGUUCAUGGUAAAGUACCCUGGUUUCAAUUCCCAGUGCCACCA
rnacentral:tRNA from 1 species